rnacentral:rRNA from 1 species
GACGAACGCUGGCGGCGCGCUUAACACAUGCAAGUCGAACGGAAAGGCCCUGCUUUUGUGGGGUGCUCGAGUGGCGAACGGGUGAGUAACACGUGAGUAACCUGCCCUUGACUUUGGGAUAACUUCAGGAAACUGGGGCUAAUACCGGAUAGGAGCUCCUGCCGCAUGGUGGGGGUUGGAAAGUUUCGGCGGUUGGGGAUGGACUCGCGGCUUAUCAGCUUGUUGGUGGGGUAGUGGCUUACCAAGGCUUUGACGGGUAGCCGGCCUGAGAGGGUGACCGGCCACAUUGGGACUGAGAUACGGCCCAGACUCCUACGGGAGGCAGCAGUGGGGAAUAUUGCACAAUGGGCGGAAGCCUGAUGCAGCAACGCCGCGUGCGGGAUGACGGCCUUCGGGUUGUAAACCGCUUUCGCCUGUGACGAAGCGUGAGUGACGGUAAUGGGUAAAGAAGCACCGGCUAACUACGUG